GACGAACGCUGGCGGCGUGCCUAACACAUGCAAGUCGAACGGAGUUGAUCCUUCGGGAUUAACUUAGUGGCGGACGGGUGAGUAACGCGUGGGUAACCUGCCUCACACAGGGGGAUAACAGUUGGAAACGACUGCUAAUACCGCAUAAUGUACUUUGGGGGCAUCCCCGAGGUACCAAAGCUUUAUGUGCUGAAAGAUGGUCUCGCGUCUGAUUAGCUAGUUGGCGGGGUAACGGCCCACCAAGGCGACGAUCAGUAGCCGGUCUGAGAGGAUGAACGGCCACAUUGGGACUGAGAUACGGCCCAGACUCCUACGGGAGGCAGCAGUGAGGAAUAUUGGGCAAUGGGCGCAAGCCUGACCCAGCAAUGCCGCGUGAAGGAUGAAGGUUUUCGGAUUGUAAACUCUUUUAAGAGGGACGAUAAUGACGGUACCUCUUGAAUAAGCCACGGCUAACUACGUG
rnacentral:rRNA from 1 species